rnacentral:rRNA from 1 species
UACGUAGGUGGCAAGCGUUGUCCGGAAUUAUUGGGCGUAAAGCGCGCGCAGGUGGUUUCUUAAGUCUGAUGUGAAAGCCCCCGGCUCAACCGGGGAGGGUCAUUGGAAACUGGGAGACUUGAGUGCAGAAGAGGAUAGUGGAAUUCCAAGUGUAGCGGUGAAAUGCGUAGAGAUUUGGAGGAACACCAGUGGCGAAGGCGACUAUCUGGUCUGUAACUGACACUGAGGCGCGAAAGCGUGGGGAGCAAACAGG